GGAGAUGUGUCUCAGUGGCAGAACUCUGGUUUCGGAUGCAGGAAGUCCCUGGUUCAAUCCCUGUCACCUCCA
rnacentral:tRNA from 1 species